rnacentral:rRNA from 1 species
UGGGGAAUAUUGGACAAUGGGCGAAAGCCUGAUCCAGCAAUGCCGCGUGUGUGAUGAAGGGUCCCGGCUCGUAAAACACUGUUGUAAGAGAAGAAUGACAUUGAGAGUAACUGUUCAAUGUGUGACGGUAUCUUACCAGAAAGGAACGGCUAAAUACGUGCCAG